rnacentral:lncRNA from 1 species
CCAGGGUUUGGUCUGGUAACUAGAAGACACUUUCCCUGCCCCUUCCCCACCACCCCCUCCAAGCCGGAACAUGUAGAGGUGAGGAGCAGACACAGAGAUGGCAGGGAAGCCACUGGCAACGUGGGAAUCGUAGGAAGGAAGUGAUUCCGGUUCUUGAAAAAGACAACCGGAUUCCAUUAAGUAGAAUCGGUAUGAAUUGUACUCAUCUCCAGGAAAAAUCAAUUCCAGAAGGGCACCUUGGAAGUUGUUUUCAACCAUAUCCGGCCUUUGCCGAAUACAUCCUAUCUGCCACACAUCCAGCGUGAGGUA